GUGGGAUAAGAAUACCCAUCUGAUAGCAUAAAUUUGCACUCUGAUUUGUCAGCUGAUAAUUCAACCCUCAUCAUGGUGUAAAUAUGCAUCCUUUGUAAAGUGUGUUUCGAUGAGGAUGGUGUUAUUUUAUGACAAGGAUUUAAAAUACCCUAAACAUAAUAGUUCUGCACCCAUAUGCUCAUUAUUUUACGAUAGCGUCCACGUGCGGCUCGCGAGCCUUCCGUUUCCGCCAUUUUCAUUUUUGUGUCUGCUCCGGACCGGAGCCACGGAGACUUCUGGCGCUUGCAAGUGAUCUUCUGGCGGUUGAAACAGUGAGAUAGGUGCGAGUGUGCUGGUGCGUUCGGUGUGGUGAUGACUGACUAGUGCUGGACCCAUUUCCGAAUAACUUUGAGGGUUUGGGGUGACCUGGCUCUCGUCGUGGGUCACGCCGGCGAGAAUGGCAUUAGGACAAAGUCACCUCAAUGACGCGACAGGCGUGCUACACCGCACAACUCCUGCCUCCGGAGGGCGCCACACCCGUUGAAGAUGACGACCUGGCGGCCACCUUGGUGAUCGGUGGCGGCACGACGAUUUCGGAGCUGCAGGAUGGGCGCAACUCUGUGUCCGUUCACCCAGAAACCCAGUGCCUGGUCAGCUAUGUGAAAUAUCGUCUCCCAAACAGUGAGAUGAAGAUGCUGGCUGCCUUCGCUGCGGCGCACGCUGUGCUGUAUUUGCCUUUUAGAGGGCCCAGCAUGAUCCUUUUUGAGGUCAUAUAUGCACGGGUUAUGAAGUUCGCGAUUCCUCUCAGUGCGGCCGAGAAUGCCAUCCUUCGUAUAAUCCACUGUUGCCGAUUCAGAGGCACCAGUGCAGUGGUCGGGUGACCGAGCAGGGCCCUGUUUCACGGCACGGCACUACUGUGCGCUACUAGUAUCGCGGUAUUGAGUUUCCAUAGAAACAUCUACAAACUUGGACGCUCCAACAUUGAGAGCGUUCGAGUAUGUGGAUGUUUCCAAUAGGAACUCAGCACCGCGAUACACG